ensembl:lncRNA
CUCCAGGUCAACCCUGUAAUCAUGUGGCUGAGCUACUAUUAGUCUAGCAAUCAUAACUUAAUCAUAUCAUACGCUAAUUGACCUGAAGAGGAAAGCACAGGGUCAAAAAUAAUCCAAUCAUGGAAUAAAUAUAGUAUAAGUAAUUCAUACUUCUGUAAAUGGGGGAGUCCUUCAACUUUCAAUUUCGCUCCGGACUUUAUUCUUUUCUUUGCACACGAGGCGAGUGGAGUGAGCACGGCUUCUCGAGCCUCCAUCCAUCCUCGCAGCCGUGCCCAAGGUGAUCUGCACCAUCCAUUCUUAUCAUCUAGUUGUCAAUUGAUCUAUUACCCCUGCACCCUAUUCACUUAAUGGUAGCGUGAUUAAUUAUCGCCACCUGCAGUGCAGACAGAAAGAGAAAGUGGAGAAAAGGAAGGAAAAAUCUUAUUGCGGAUCCUUUUUUCUCCGGCUUUUGUCCGUUAGACCUUGGAUUUAUAAGCUCGUCUCUAAAGUCAAUGAAGUAUCGAUGAGUUCAGGUGUAUAUGAAUACCGAGCCUGUUCUGCCUCAUUGGCCGCAAAACCUCGACUUGAACCUUUUAGCGUGAUUUGUAUAUCAGUAGCAGGUAUAGAACUCAUUAGAAACUCAUUUCUCUUAACACGUUCACAUGGAAUCUGGAAUCGGUAUUGUGCAGGAUCGCUGUUCAAAUGUAAAUUGUGUUCUAAAAGGAGAUUAUAUCGCCGGUUUUCGGCAUCGGGAGAAAUGCAGGCCUGCUAGUGGAGGUGUCGAAGCGUCUGAAGAGCUUGUUAACUCAGGCAUGAAACGCACUUGUGGAUAUUUUACUUUCUCUGUAAGACCUGUUUUACGUCCAGUGAUGGAAUAUUUGUGAACAAGCCGACACUUUAAGGUAAAUGUUGUAGAGAAAUUUGUGUAAAUAAAGAGUUGAAGGUGCACAUUACACCACUCCAGCUCACACUCCGCAUUGCAUGUAGUGAUCUCAGGCUGCUCGGCCCUGGAAACCCAUUUCAUGAUGCUCCUGAGGCACAGUUCUUGUGCUGAUGUUGCUUUCGGAGGCGGUUUGGAACACUGUAGUUAGAGAUGCAACAAAGGAUAGGCAAUGCACUUUAGCACUCUCUCUGUGAGUGUGUGGUCUACGUCUUCAUGGAUGAGCUGUUUUUUUUUUUUUUUUUUUGCUUCUAGAAGCUUCCAUUUCACAAUAAUAGCACUUAAAGUUGACCAGGGCAGAAAUUUCAUGAAUUGACUUGUGAUAAAGGUGGCAUUCUAUAUCAGUGCCACGUCCGAAGUCACCGAGCUCUUCAGUACAACCCGUUCUACUGCCAGUCUCCGUGUAUGGAGACUGCACCGUUCGGUUGUGUGCUUGGUUUCAUGCGCAUGUUCGCAACGGGUCUGGAUGAAACACCUGAACUCAAUCAUUGAGGGGGUGCAAAUACUUUUAGCCAUAUAGUGUAUCUUGAAAAACAUCUUAUCAACUCCUAACCUGUUUGCUUCCGUGUAUCGAUUCUUCUUCUUCGUCGUCAUCUUACCAUUAAGGGUUCUGUGGCUUGUUCCUCUGGCGGAACCAUACAACAGGAGGUUUCCCUAUCAAAGAAAAUCCAAGAAAAAAUGUCUGGGUUCCGCGCGCGACCCUGUUCCCCGAGAAGGGAACAAGACAUCGUGUGAGUUGUUCAGUACAGCAUAGCAAUUUAGACCUAACACUGACUUCAGCUGACCUUAUUUGGCUUCUUCCUGUAGUGGAAAGCUGAAACGGAGGGUUUCCCUAUCAAAGAAUAUUCAAGAAGAACCUAUUUAUGAUACGAAGAACCCUUAACUAUCUUGGAAAACUUCUUAUCAACAUCUGGACUGUUUAGUUAAACAUAAUUUAGAGCCGAAACCCACCUCUUUGUCGUAACAUUAAGGGUAGAGUUCCGUAAGAACUUACUUCGGAUGUAAAGAGACACUUUCCAAGACCAGGGUCUCUGCAGGUAUCAGCACUUCAAAUCUAAUACUUUUUAAUACCAUGUUCAAAAAAUGGAUUGUGUUCAUGCAGAUACAUCCGUUUCUGGGUUUAAGUAAACUAUAGCAGGGUAAACUUCUAUAGAGGGAUAUGGGAGAGCGCAGCAAAUUUAAAAAAUCCAGUAUUUCCUCAGUACAUCCAGAGCAUGUUCUCCCCGUGCUGCAGGGGUUUCCUCCCCCAGUCCAAAGACAUGCAACGUAGGCUGAUUGUCAUGUCCGAAUUGUCCAUAGUGUGUGAGUGUGUGUGUGUGUGUGCCCUGCGAUGGAUUGACACCCAGUCCAGUAUGAACCUCACCUUGUUCCCGAUGCUCCCUGGGAUACACUCCGGGUUCCCUGCGACCCUGUAGGAUAAGAGGGUUGCUUGGCCUUCUGAUGGAAAACUACGACAAAAGGUUUCCCUGUCCAAUAGGGUCCAAGAAGAAUUCCUUUAGGGUGUGAAGACUAUCAAUUUUUAAUACAUUUUAAGACAGAACACAUUUCUUCAGGCAAUUUCUAUAGUCUCUAAAGGUUCUUUGAUCCGUUCCUCUGUUGGAAACCAUAAAAGUUUUAUGUAGAAUCCUGCAACAGAGGGCUUUCUGGCAAACUGUUACGGCGUAAGCGGAAUAAAACACCCGGGAUCUGAUUUAUUUGUAAUAACAACAGUACAGCGUCAUGAUCUUAUUAUAACCUCACAUUCGAUUGAAUUAGAAAUGGAUGUAAUGCACACGAUAAGAUGGAUGUAUUCCAGAUUUUUUCUUUUUUUUUUUUUUUUAAUUAUAUGACUUUUUUCGCCCAUGAAUCCCCAAAUCCAGUCCAUCGAUAUGAGACGUCACAGUGAGUGAGAGAUGGGAUUUCCAAUUUGAAUUCGCAUGACAGUGAUGUGUUUUAUUCUCAAACACUCCAUGAUCUGACCACGUCUUUAAAAAUAAAUAAAUAAAUAAAUCAAUCAAUAAAUGAAAACCUCGGCUCAGUGUUCACUCGCAGGAAGGAAGUGGGGCCGGAUAUCACUUCUUUUGACAGUUUUAUCCAUCAGACGUCAUGGUGUGAAUUUGUUCUGUCAGGGAAAUACCCUGCAGAUGAGAACAUAUCUGCGUAUUACUGCACAAUUAAUGUAGCUGAAAAUCCUUCCAGCUGUUAGGUGUAGAAGGAGGAAUUUGUCAGGUUGAAGUAUCGACUCAAUAAGUGAAUGUACGUUAUGACACCGAGGCUUUUUUUUUUUCUCUCUAUGUAUCGUAUUUUAUUUCUGUACUCACACCCUAAUCUCUGUCAGUUUGCAUAGCAUCUGUAGCACUCGCAAAGUUCAUUAAAGUGUCUAUAAAACUAUAACCGGAGCAAAAUCUAAAUUCGGAUUGGCUUGAUGAUGCGAUUGAAUUUACGGGAUGAAAAAUCUGACUUGUCCUCAUCAGACGACUGGCGAGUCAACGUCUCAGAUGAUUAUUUUUGAAUUCUUCUGAGAAUAAACGUCCCGAUCAAUUUCAUGCUUUCUAAAGCCUGGCAAAUUAUUUAGGAAGAAAGAAAAUCUGUGUCACGUGUCCAGGUUUUAUUCAUCCUUCGUUCUGAUACGUUUUUAAACAGGCUGUGUAAAGAAAAAUAAACCACGUAUUACAAAAAUAAAAAUAAAUAAAUAAAUAAAUAAAUGAAUAAAUAAAUAAAUAAAAAACGAAGACCAGACAAGUGGUUUGCUUCGGAUUUUUACUGAAAAGUGACAUUUCAAACAAAAGUCGAAUGAUCUGAUCUGGAUGAAAUCGUUUGAACUCAUUUAGCUUAAAGUAUAAAGCUGAGAAAGCUCAAAUCCUUGUAAGAGGUUUUUUUUUUCCAUUUUCAUUAAUAAAAUUCAUAAACUCCAAGCUGUCACGACGUGUAAUAGGAGUGCUGCGAAUCAUCCGGAUCAUUCCAAGGGCCUUCGGCUGUCCAUUUCGCUGAUCUACAGAUGAUGAACCAAUUCAGCACUGUCAACGCUUCCUCCUUUAACUUUAACAAGAAACUAUUUUAAAGUCAGCUCCAUUUUCUGCCAUGAUAAAAGAUUAAAUAGGAGCCAGUCGCUCUGUUCUGACACCAAAGAAUGACUUUUUUUUUUUUUUACUUAGGGUCCAGCUGUGAAUCAUUUCUUCCUAGAGAAAGAAAACUAAGUGCACCUACAACAUGAUUAU